rnacentral:lncRNA from 1 species
UAUUGAUCAACAUUAACCAUGCACCAUCAAAUACACUUCUCAUCUUUGCUACUUUCUUCACAGUAAUGAUAGGAGCAGAUCAUUUUAAAUCUUCAAAGACUGACAGCUGAGGGUUUUGAGAGACUCAUUCACUGGCUUCUUUCUAAAAAUUUUAUUCUCAUUUUUUCUAACUCAGUCUAUGAGACCUUAGGUGAAAACCUAAAUACGAAAACCUACAUUUGAGAAGAGCAUACAAAAAUCCCCCAUAAUACCCUCAACUAUCCUAAUUUUAAAAACUCAUCAAACAUACGGUUCUCAUACUUAGUGUCCAUCAGGAUCACUUGUGGGGGGCUUGUUAAAACACAGACAACUGAGCCCCACUUCCAGCAUUUCCAAUCCAGUAGAUCAGGUGAGAGCCCUACAAUUUGCAUCACUACCAAGUCCCCAGUGAGGCUGAUGUGGCUGGUCUGGGGACCACACUUUGAGAAUCACUGCACUAAACGGUUAUACUGAGUGCCUACUACAUCACAAGUACCGUCCCAGGUGCAUGGAGGUGGCAGUGAACAAGACAGAGAGAGUAAACAGACAUGGGACAACAAGCAAGUAACCAAAGACCCAGAAACCAAGCACACACCUGGGCUUGCUGUGAGGACUGACCCACAGGCAUCACCAUUCACCUUGUUUGCUCCUUUUAGCAACUUGGUGAAGAGCAUAGACAAUCUACAGAAUGGUAAUGCUAAACAGAGCACUGUCAGUCUCAGGCGUUGCUUCUCCAAAAGCAUGUUUCUGGGAUUACAACAUGCUCACCACUCUGCGGAGGGACUUACCCUGCAAAAGGUCACAGUAAAACCCAAGCUAUGGAAAAAAAAUAACCCCUGCAAGCAAGAAACAGUAAAGAAAAUAAGGAAAGAAACAAGCAUCUCAAAGAACCAGGCUAUUCCUUGUAGAGGUGGCAGAGCAUCUACCUGAUGAUGGAUCGGGCCCCUGGGAGGCAUCCAUCACUUCUAAUCCUGGGCUCUGCGAGAGGAAAUGAACCUCGCAUGCAUAAAUUAGUGAAAGGCAUGAUAGUGAUUCGUGUUCCUUUUGCAAUUUCCUCUUCUAUACAGCCGCUUAUGCAGAUUGAACAAGAUGUCACUGUUACAUUAGGAACAAAGUGAGACACAAAAAUUAGUAAAAAUGAAAACUUAUUCUGGAUUUGGUCAACCUCUAGCUAAAGACUUCCCUCAGGGAAAAGACUCCAUGAAAGAGAGGAACUGUUAUUUUAAUUCUGAUAUUUAAUGAUAUUACAAAAGUCAUCCUGAAGUUGUUAUGGGAAAGAGAAAAGAAAAAAAUAAUCGUAGUUGUAAAACCCAGGAAAGGAAAAGAGGAGAGAGAGAGAAUCUGACUAAGUAGGAUUCCUCCAGUUUAAGUUGGUAUCUGAGCAGAGACGGAGGUAGCAGAGGCCACAGCCUUGGCGGCAGGAAACCCAACCCCUUUGGGAAGAAAUUGUUCUUCUUACUGUUGUGAGAAGGUAUUGAGUGAGGCAACAGGCACUUUGGGUUACUAGGCAGAUCUCUAGCAAAGGUCAAGAAGAAAUUGAGCCCAACAUAGCGAGACAAAUACUAACAAGAAGUUUCACGUAAAGGUUUUAACUUGAUUCUCUCAACUAAUCCACAAUAUGGAUGUUAAAAAUAUUCUCAUUUUACAGAUAAAACUGAGAGACCCAAAGUGACUUUCUCAAGAUCAGGCCAUCAAUAGGCGGCGGGGCUUGGCCUUGGCACUCAGCGUUGUA